rnacentral:rRNA from 1 species
CGUGCCUACGGGGGGCAGCAGUGGGGAAUAUUGCACAAUGGGGGAAACCCUGAUGCAGCAACGCCGCGGGAGGGAUGACGGCCUUCGGGUUGUAAAGCUCUGUCUUCAGGGACGAUAAUGACGGUACCUGAGGAGGAAGCCACGGCUAACUACGUGCCAGCAGCCGCGGUAAUACGUAGGUGGCGAGCGUUGUCCGGAUUUACUGGGCGUAAAGGGAGCGUAGGCGGACAAUUAAGUGAGAUGUGCAAUACUCGGGCUCAACUUGAGGGCUGCAUUUCAAAC